GAUGAACGCUGGCGGCGUGCCUAAUACAUGCAAGUCGAGCGAAAGGACGAGAAGCUUGCUUUUCUGAUGUUAGCGGAGGAGGGGAGAGUAACACGUGGAUAACCUACCUAUAAGACUGGGAUAACCUCGGGAAACCGGAGCUAAUACCGGAUAAGAUUUUGAACCGCAUGGUGCAAAAGUGAAAGACGGUCUUGGUGUAACGAAUAGAUGGAUCCGCGCUGCAUUAGCUAGUUGGUAAGGUAAAGGCUUAUGAAGGCAACGAGGCAUAGCCGACGUGAGAGGGUGAUCGCCCGCCCUGGAACGUAGACACCCACCAUGCUCCUACGAGACGCAGCAGUAUCCAAUCUUCCGCAGUAGUCGGGAACCUUACGCAACAACGCCGCGUGUGUUAUAGAGGUCCUCGGUUCGUAAUGCUCUGUUUUUGGUUGAGAACCUAUUUGUAAUUAGCUGUGCCCAUCUUGACGGUACCUAGUCAAAAAGCCACGGCUAACUACGUG
rnacentral:rRNA from 1 species